UGGGGUGAUGGGAUCUGGGUUUUUUUUUUUUUUUUAAUUUUUAAUAUUUAGUUAAUAUUUAAUUAAUUUUUUAAUUUUUUUAAUUUUUUUAAUAGAAAGUGGGCCUACCUCAUGCCACGUUAGCGUUUAACAGAGGAAUUGAUAGACAAUUGACGAAAGGUAUGACAUUGCAACAAAUUCGAAGAUAAGGUAUGACAUUGAAACUUUUUAAAAACGAGGUAUGAAACUGUUAAUGACCUAAUAGUUGAAGUAGUUUUAUGUAAUUUAUCCAAAAUAAUAUUACAAUUCUCAAAUAAAGCAUGAUUUAUGCAUAUGUGAUUAAACUAAUGCUAUUUUACGUGUUGAUGGGCGCCUAAUCAAUUUUAGAGUGAGCUCAAUGCUUAACCACCACCACGGCGGUUCUUAAUUGCUUGAUGUGGAAGUUGUUUGGCAGGGGAUCAUACCCUCUUGAUAUACAGUUGACAUAUACAAGGGAGCUCGAUGCUUAACCACCACCACGACGGCUCUUAAUUGCUUGAUGUGGAAGUUGUUUGACGGGGGAUCGUACGCUCUUGAUAUACAAUUGACGUAUACAGUUCAGAAUUCAUAAAUAUCAAAUCAAUCAAUGUUGCGCGUCUCACUUAAUUAUAAGCUCUACUUUAAGGACACACGAAUUACGGGGCAUGCAGGGCAUCUGCUUGUAAAUUUCGUGGUGUGGCUCUGCAUGUGAAUGUGAUGCAGUUGGAAGUUGACUUAUAACUAAAUGAGGAUCGUUAGAUUAUUAAUGUAUUAUAAUGGUCGAGAUGAAGCGAAAUGUGGAAAAAUGCUUAAGUUAUGUUAUCGAAAUUAGACGUUGGGGAGCUAUGAUGGAGAAGCAAACUCUUUUUAUCUUUCUUGUUUUUUGAAGGGUGAUUUUAUUCUAACCCAAUGAAGAGCUUUGGGAUCAAAUUCUA